AUAUACUUUGAGAUGAGGAAGAUGAACAUACAGGGUAAAACCAAGAAAAGGAACUGGUUGAUCCAAAAACAUUUUCUUCUGAGAUAUGGACCGAAGCCCACAACCCUUACACCUUUUGCUCAUACUGACGAUCCCUAUUCUGCAACAAAUGCAUAGUUUGGCUUUGAUACAAAAUCAGAGUCCUUAUAACAUGAGAUGAAAGAUCCCGAGGCCCUUCUUGCAAGGACAGUUAUGAACUCCUCUGUUGUGCUUCAAACCUAAAUAAUUCUACUCUUUUUUUUCAAAGAAAAUUCCUCAUAGCUUUAGCCAAAAUCAUUCUUCACUUCCUCUGCUGGCUUCUCUUGAAUGGUGGGUGAAGAGAGGUCACAGGUAUGAAGCUGCCUAGGAUUCUUCCAGGCUGCUGAUUAUUGAUAUGCAAACCAACAGUCACCACUGCAGACUAAAACAAAAUGUGAAACAGGCUUUUAAAAGAAAAGUCUGUCCAGGUAUCAUUUUAGGUUGUAAGAAAGGUUAAUUCUCCAAUUUGUUGAUCAGGGCUUGCUAGGAGGACUGACCAGACCUCAGUGUGAUCACAUCAGUGGUCCUCACCUGAAAGUGAAACCUGAAGGCUUGGAUUGCUCAAUGCUGCCAUAGGAAGGCACAGACUUUGAAAGCAGCAACUCCUUCCUCUUACAAAUUUGCAGUGUAUUCUCCCUUUUUCCACUCUGUACCACUGAGCAUGAUGAUGGUAGCUGGAGGGAACUUUUGUUUGUUUCUCUGUUUUGUUUUGUUUUUCCCUGACUUUAUUUUUGAGAUGUUAGUUACAUUAUUUGAGGGUGUGUAUGAGAUUCUGGAAGCACAAUUUACUUCUGCUGUGCUGUGAGAUCCUUGGUAUGGUAUUGACUCAUUCAUUGGCACCUGAGAGAGGUUUGGGGAAUUCAGCAAGCUUUCAACAAUCCAGUUUGAGAGAUUAUACAGAAUUAUGGCUCAGUCAGGUUCGUCCUAAUUUUAUUAGAUUUCCACCAUUUCUAAUUGCAUAAACAUAUGCAGCCAAAUAUACAGAUGGGGACUGGGAAGAUGUACAAGGACACUCAGAGUCUGUAGUCAGCUAAUUGGUGGACUAAGUAAUAGGGCACUUGGAAAGAUUGAUUAUUUUUUUCAGAGCAUUUCAGGAGAAAAUUCUGUCCCCAUUAAAACUGUAGCAAUCAAGAGAAGAAAGAUUUUAGCAGUAGAUUUUUUUGGAAAUGGUGAAAGAGACAGGCAUAAAUAUGCGACGCAGAAAAAAUCCAAGAUGAAUGAUGUUAUUUUGGGCAAGAUCUGCUAUUUUAGCCAUAGGAAGAAAGAUAGAGUGUCUCGAAAACAUAGAACAACUGGCUUGAUCCAUAGGGUAACAUCAGAAAUCUUUUGAUCAGGGCUAAAUACAACAGUUUCAAAUAUUGCCUGGGCAAAUGAGAAGUCAUUUUGUAUGAAUAUUGUUACUGGUAGCAAAUGCCAGAUUGUAUAAAGUUUUCAGAAAUACUUUAUAUUUUCUUUUGGAAGAUAAAUGUUUAGCUAGGGCUAGGAAAGAUCUUGGGCCAUAACUCCCAUUUCUGGUCAAAUGAUACCAUCUGAGGUACUGGCAUGGCUGUUCAUAUGAGUACCUUCACAUAAAGUAACAUUGCUGUCCAUCCUUGUUCAGGAAUAAGCCAUGCUGUUGGCUUAUUCCCUACCAUCACAGCAGAAGGGGACGGGAGGGAAGUGUUUGCUCAGUUUUUUGUUAUGAACCAUCUUCAUCCAUGACACAGCAGCUGCACUAUGGAAUUCACCCUGGAUGAAUGGGAAUGCCAAUGUCUUCACCUCCUGAAGAGAGGACACAGCUCUCAGACUGAAUUAGCCACAGCUGGAUAGGUUGUUUUGAAAUCUCCACAAUUUUCAGACCUGGAAGAUUUUUCCAUCAUGCUGGCCUGGGGUAGGCAUUUGGUGGGUGAGUAAACUAUAAUUUGGUUUGUUUUGCCUUAUGAAGUAAGUGUAGAAAAUACACCAAAGUAGCUGGUCACAUAUUUGGACCUGGGCUUCUCACGAAAGUUCUGCAAAACCCUCUCAAAUGUCUGAAUAUUUACUAAGUAGGUCACGAAAUAUUUUCCAACAACAAAAAUACAAAUACAAAAAUACAAUAGAGUAAUCCUAUUGGGAUGUAGUUAUGUGCUAAUGACUUUAUUUUCUUCUUCCUCCUGUUCAGGCAGUAACAUGCAAAGUGACCACAGCACUGUUGUGAAAUUGCUGAUUAACCUUUUGACUCUGACAAUUGGGACUUCUCUUAACACCAAUUGGUAAUGCAAAAGACCAUUAGUAGUUAAUAUUGGGACACCCCACCUCCAGAUGCCAAAAGGUUAAUGAAAAAGCAAGUAUCUUGCUUUUACUGGGAAACUUGGAAACCUUCCCACCAAACAUUUCAUUUUUUGUGAUAAACAAGCCAGACCGCUUCAGCUGAGAAAGACGGGUGUUUUGCUAAUGUGUACAGCUGUUAAUUGAAAAAGAUUCUGUUAUGCCUGUUCUUCUGGACAUAGAUAAAAGAGAGAUUUGUUGGUGAACUUUAGUUGGUCCUGAACACCCCUUUGUCAAAAUACACUGCUCAAUAAUAACGCUUUGUUCUGUCUGUAACAGCCACGGAAGGAUUUUGAGUGGAAUACUCAUUUUCUUUAAGUCAUAUCUGCCAGUGAUCAUUCUUGGCUUAAGAUCAGCUGCCAUUUAUGUGUUUUAUGAAAAUAUAACACCAGUUUUAUGCUCAAAACUAUUCUUUUUUAGGUAAAAGCUUCAGCACAAACUGGUUCCCCAUAUGUACCAUAAAUGCUAUUUAUCACAGGUUUUGGUCUUUAAAACAGAAUGAUAAUGUUAAAACAUUUUCAUUACCCUUUCCUUACAGCUAUCAUUCACAAACCAUCUUUUAUAAUUAUGGUACUAGGACAUUUACAUAACUGGGAAAAAGGUCCUUAAACUACAUUUCUAUUAUGUUUGGCACUUGUGUGAAAGGAUAUUAUAUUCAUGUGCAUUAGAGAUUGCUUAUAAAAGAUCAAGACAAUAAUAGCAGAUCAGACGAUAAAGGUUCCCUUUUCUCCUCCCAGACAGGCUGUCUCUGACAGAAGAAUACAGUUCAUCAAAAGUGUCUGCAGGUUGUCAAACUCAGUGAGAUUUGGGGACACUCGGAGGCUGUCAUGGCCAACAAGAAGAUUUUCUGUAGGGUUCUGCCAUCAUUCACCCUCAGGAAAUAAUCACUCACUACAUUCUGCAUGCUCUCAUGAUAGAGCUCUAUUUGAGAGAAAAGAGCCAUUUUAUCAAAGGACAAUAUAUCCCUUCUCUUGGUCCAUGCAGCUUCCAUUAUCAGACCAUAAUAAAUCAUAUUUAUGUUCUCAGUUAAUAAGACUGAUUACAAUGCAGGUUACAGGCAUGGGAAAAGCAAAGCAGGUGAAAAGAUGUUUUAAUGAAAAUAUGAUAAGCAAACAGCUUCUUGUGAACAUUUCAGGCUGUUAUUUGUAAUGAUCACAGGCAAUUUUUGAUACAUCUUCUUUAGCAAUGGUUUAAGCUGCAUAAAUUGGCUUGCCACUUUAUACGUCGAAAUAGGAAGAAUCCCAGUGUCCUUCUUAUGUUGUCUAGAAUCAUUAUAUACAUUAUAAGCAUAAAAUGAGUUUAAUGUAUGUGCUUUGAAAAGAUGGGGAAAACAGAAAAUCAGGGAGGACUGAUUUUAAUGCUGCUCAAAAUGAUUUUGAAAUUUUCUGCACAUCUUUGUUACUAACGGUGCAUUUUCCAUGAAAUUUAGGGAUGACAUGUGGUGCUUUCAUCUCCUUAAAAUUAAUAUACUUCUCUUUCUGUUUUUCUCAGUUUCUUCAAAGUUCUUUUUAGAACACUGUGCAAAGAGACAGAGAGAAAAUUCUCCACUCGAUGUGUGAACAUAUCUGUUAUUAAUGCUGGGGGGGAGUUAAGUGUGUGCUUCUAGAGGAGAAUAUACCCCUGCGUUAAACACUGAAAUCAACCCUAUCAAAAAGGUGCAAGGAUAUUUAGCUGCAGCACACCUGAUGCAUUCAAGGGCCAAAUUCCUUAGAAUCUUUUAAAGUGAUCAAGAUCUCUUUUGUUAAGAGCGCUCCAAUGAUUUCAGAAUAUAACUGUACUUAAGUAGCCGAGGAAGUGUCUUGCUCUUGUCUCGUGAAAAGCUUUCUUUUAUGUUUUAUUGUUGUUUUCUUUUUUGCUGUAGUCAUUUGGUUUAUGUUUAGCAUCAUACUUUCAAGACAAAGUUAAAAAUUUAAAGAAUAAUUUCUUCCUGCUAGCAGAUAAUGCUGACUAAGUAUUUCAAAAUCUACAGCACUUGCAGAAUGCAAGCAUUAUGCUUAAAAUGUAUAUAAUGAUUCCAGACAAUAUGAGAAGGACACUGGGAUUCUUCCUACUUUGAUAUAUAAAGUGGUGAGCAAACGCAGAAGUCUCCAUGGUGUUGUGUGUCUGUAGGAGCUGUUCUGGUCACUGAUACUUCUAAAGCUCCCUUAAACAAAUGUUAAAGCUUUGUAAUGGGCCUGGCAAUGGAGAAUGACCAUGAAAUUCCCUUAACCCUUUUAGGGCACUUCAGCAGGAGAAGUGAUCACACAAGAAACAGUAAACUGCGCUUCAAAGGCAGCAUCCUGAUAUGACAACAGAUGUAGAUAAUGCACUUCAUGAUGAAACUGCUUGAUACAGAGAAAAACACGUUGUAACUGCCUUCACCCUGAAAGGGGUUUAAAAAUGCUGCCUGCCAACUCCACAAAAAACAGAGCUGCUAUUUCAGUUAAAGGCCAGUGGAUUGUAUUUUUCGUGUCAGUUUUCACUAACCUCAAACAUCACUGUUAUGACAGACUGUCAUCCAACCAAGCCAGCACUGUGGUGCCAUUCAGGCAAGAAAGAAGAAAGCAAACACAAAGGAAACUUAGAAGUCCGAGCAGUAAGAGCGGGUGUCUGUGAGUGCACUUUUGUGCAGCGAUACUGAUUACUGAAAAUGAAACACUUAAAAGAAAACAAACCCAAAAAAGUGAUUUCUGAGCCAUUGGUGUUUUCUUGCCUGGCAAUUUCUCUUUGUUCUGUUUCAUGACAUCAGCCUCAGUGGUUGAAAGGGUGUUCUGGGCCAGAUGUCAAUCACUAUGUCUGACAUAAACAAAAAUAGCUAAAAAGACAUGCCAGCAUCUUCCUUUUGUUUUCCCAUUAGCUCCAUUUUUCUUUUCAGAGGCUGACAAAAAAUUACUGCCUCCGAGUGAAUUCAGUAAUGUCACUAUAUAUCUAAUAUCUAGGAGACCUUUUGUUUUAGCUUUACUGGGCUUAACCACAAAAGACACUUGACAUUGACAAAGAGUCUGUCAAAUACACAAUGAUCAGUGCAGUGAAAUCUCUCAUGACAGAAGGGCACUAUUCUGCACCCCCAGCCUGCAGCAGCCUAUCUGAGUAAAAUGUGCUGGAGCACAUGCAGCAGCUGAACCAUUGCAGAGCAGGCCAUAAGCUGAGAUGUGUCUUGUUUAAAGUGUCAUAGUAUAUUAGUGUAAUUAAAACCGCCAAAAGAAUAGAAAAGAUAGAUGGAAAUGUUACAUUACUUGUUUCUAGAGAUUAACCUCCAGCCAGAACUGAAAUACAGGGACACAUUUUGCAUGUCUUAGAGCUCUGAUAUGGAAGAAAACAAGCCUGAGUGUAUGUCUCUUGAAGUGUGAGACAUGAAGUCAUAGUUCCUGUAUUUACACAAUAAAGCAGAAACAGCGCUUCAGACAGGCACGCUGUUUUCUCUCUGAUUACAGCUCCCGUUGUGGCUGUACUCUGCAAAGCAGCUGUAUCAUCUCUCAGCUACUUCCCUUUUACUCUCACUGCCUUCGUGCUUGGAAGGUCUUGAGGACCCUUGGGCCAACAGAUGUGCUGGUGUCAAUGCCUUCUGCUCCCUUGGCAUCUGCCAGCAUUGCGUGGGCCCAGCCUAGAGGCAGAGCACCCUGUCCCUGUGGUGUCUGCAGAAGACACAGCUCAGCUCCAGACUCAGCAACACCCAGCUAGGAAGAUGUUUGAAGAAUGGCUUCAGUCUGACCUUUAUAUACCAGGCUGCAUGCUUGCUUCUCUGUUGACUCUAUAGAUAAAACUGCAUGGCUUUCUGAAAUUGACUCUGAAAAUUAUGUUCCCAGAACUGCAUGUUUUCCUUCCCAUGCCUCAUUACCUGUGAUAACUAUUCAAGCCUAACUAGUUACGAUCUCUGUUCUAACCAUGAGGCAAGUUAUAUCUGGUGGUGAAAAACCCUUGGAGUUUUUAUGGACCUGUUCAGCUGUGUUGGCUGAACGUUGGUUUAUCCAGUAUCUGGAGAGGACCUCAUCUGGCUUCAGCAGUUCUGAAGCAUACAAAAGCAGCGUGGUUUUCUUCUAAUGUAAGCCUUACAUUCAAGGAGAAGAUGCAUUAAUCAGGUAGGUCUCAUGUUCAUUUCUUCCACUAGAAAUGAACUUCAAGGCCUUGCUCCAUUAGUUGAUCACUUUGACGUCAAGAGAUGUUAAAUAUAGGCCUUACAUUUUAGGUUUCCUCAUACUUCCUCUAUUUCCCAUCUUUAAAUAUCAGUUAAUGACUUCUCCAUAUAGCACUUCUCUUUAAUUUCUGGUCAGAGGCUGUAAAUGUGCACCGUUAGUCAAAAAUAUGUUAUCUGCUGUUAGUGUUGGCUUCUGGAGCCCUCACCACCAAGUUACCUCGCAGUCGCAUCUCUCCUCACAUGAUUUUCUGAGUACUGCCAGGAGAAGAAUGGAAAAUAACUAUGAAAUAAAAGCAGAUUCUGCUCCCAUUACAGGCAAUGAAAACUGUGCUUUUACUUCUACUUACUCAUAAUAGUGGGGGGAAAAAAUGAAGUGGAAACAAGCACAACAAAACACCUCUGCCAGCUAUCUAUAAGCUAACCAAGGCUUCCACUAAUGAGGUGGUCUGGCAUUUUGAGAAAGACAGGUUUUUCCAGAAAUGGAAAAAAUAUGCUGUUUUUUUUUUUUCCUUCAACUCUGAGAGCAUAGCAAGAGAGUAAGAAAUUGUAUUUCAAAAAGGGAUAGCAAACUUUUAAUGCUGUCUGUAUUAGUUAAUACUUACAGACACCGGUACAGUUUCUUGUCAGCUAGAUGUUUUUGCAUAUUUGUUUGUUAGAUUACUAAAUACUUUCCUAAAAAGUGGUUAUUUGCUGUAUUUACAGAUUCAUCUCAGUGACUGUGAAAUUCCUGAGGAUGUUAUUACUUUCAAGUCAGAUUAACGGAGUAAUUUCCAGUUACCACCUGUGAAGAGAUUCCUACCUAUCCUGGCAGGCAAUUGUUCAGUCUUAUUGAGCUUCAAAUAACUUUACAGCUUGAAAUUCUGAACAACCAUGCUACCAGAAUACAUGAUACUACUCUUAAAGUGGACCUCAAAAACUUUGAGAAAGAAAAUGAUUCCAUCUUUUUUGAUCAGGUUCUUCCUCUACAGGAGUUCCUGCAGCUACAGGACCAGGAGAUGUCCGAGGUCAAGAAAAGGUUAAAGUUGUUCACUGCUUUCAAGCUCUGGCCUUAGAAGUUAAUUCAGUGCUGUGCUGCGAGAGCUACAGAGUAAAUCCUUGGAACAGUGAAUUGCUGGUUUGAUAUCAAGCUCACGUCAACAUUUCUAUCAGAAAGAAUCACCAUAAUCACCAGAUAUAUUAGCAGAAACUGCUCCUUCCCAUUGACCACAUACGCCAAAAUCCUUGGAAACUCUUAAGCCGUGGACUUCCCCUGAAGACAUACAGAGAAAAUGGCUCAAGCGAACACUCCUCCAUUCCUUCAGUGGAGCCCAGGUCAGCUGUGACAAGCAUCUGCUCUGUGGGUAGGUGCAAAAUACACGACAAAGAUAUCGGCCGUGGAUCCCUUCUGUAAACGAUGACCUCAUCCGGAGGUUAUGGGACCUUCACGAGGAUACCAGUCGUACUCCUCCAUGGCGAUGUGUUACAGUAAGUAACUCGCUUCCUGGAUGCACUUGUAACAGGCAGAUAUCCUAACAACACAGGAUACGCAGACAUGUCCAGGUCUUUAAGAAGUCUUCCAAUGCAAUUAUUAAGGUAUUACGUGCUGAUAACACCACCAAAAACAUUGAGCAUGCUGUUCAUUCAGUUGGGCAUGAAACUACUUCCUUCUGAAUAUUUUAAAUGUACUUGGCUAAUUAAUUAAACAAUUAAUAAGGGCUACAGUUAAGUUUCUGUUUUUCAUUGUAACAAAUUAUUCCAGAG
ensembl:lncRNA